rnacentral:lncRNA from 1 species
UUCAGAGGCAAGUGUGGGUGCGUACAGCAGGCGAAGAGGUUGGAUAGCUCAACAGUGGACUGCACCCCACACCCCCAUUGUGAUCAUGCCGAUGCAGCCACUCAGAUCUCUGACCUCCUGUAUACGAGAGGCCACUGGAUGAUCUUGUCGCUAUGCCCCUUUGCCUCACCUGAACAAAAGUAGAUUCUGACAUUGGAAUAGCCCGUGAGAUGCAGAAGCCAUGGAGUUGAGCUGCAGCAAAGUCCCUCUUUACGUAAGUCACUAAGCAUUGGGCUUCAGGUCCAUGGAUCCUUUUCCUAACUCGAACCAUGUGCCUGAAGUGAGGAGAAAUAUUUUGUUUGCUAUUGAGUUGAGGCUUUACCUGAACAUUACUGUCUAGUACAAGUAUUUUCAUAGAGCCUUUUACAACUGGUUGACUCUUGUUUCCAAAGUCUGAGUUUUAAUUAGACUGCCUUUAGAAUAAUAUUUUUAUAUAAUUUCUGGACUCAUAAGCACUGAGUUCCCAUAUAGGGAUACGUUUUGAACAUAUUAUUUUAUGAUAACAUCCAGUGAUAGUCAAAAGUGUCUGUGUGUUUUUUUGGAGGGGAGGGCCAUGGCUUGGUGAUGAUUUUAUCUAAAAGCAUGAACUAGGAACUCCAAAGGCAGAGUGCUGGGACACAUGCAGAGGGAAUAGAGGUUCAGGGACACACACUCAAUGAGAUUUCUGGUCAGAUGUGCCCUCUAGGUCAAAGGAGGAUUCUGAUUCUGAGACCAGUUCCUUGGUGCAAAAGGGAAGGAAACUGGUUCCUCACACACAAAAUGGCAGAUGGCCUCAUCUUUGCUCCUCCACAGGGAAGGAGCCUUGUUGGUGGGUGUUGGGCCUGGACAGGUAGGUAUGGAUGUGUGGAGUAGCUGUGAUUUAGAAUCAAAUAUUAAGAAACUGGAGAGGGCCAGGGAUUUAGCUCAGUGGUUCUGGCGCCUGCCUCACACGUGCAAGGUCCCGAGUUCGAUCCCCGGUACCAAAAAAAAAAAAAAGAAACUGGAGCAAGGUAAUCAGAAGAUUCAACUAAUAAAAGUAUAUUCAUCCAUCUCCCACACUUCACUACCCAGCUAGCAUACACCUCUAUCCCUUCCUCCACACACUAUAUAGACUACUGGGUUCUCAGGAGGAAGAUAAGAUUACAAAAUAAAUGGAUUUCAGAAUAAUAAAAAAGCUGCCUUGUGUGUUACCCAGUGGUCUCUGGUUCUCUUUGUAGAUUAUGAUUUGCAGAACAUAAAAUGUGCUUGCAGGGCCAGGCAUAAUUAAAGAUAAAAAGACUGGCUGGAGGCUAGAUUAUAAAGUACUCCGAGUCCUGCUGUUACUUUCCACAAGUGUGCCUUCCUGUUUCUCUGCCUUAAAACAGACAGACCUCAAAACUAAC